AUCUUAUUAAGAGUGGUGGAGGGACUGGCCCUUUGAAACCCAGCAACCUGCUUUCUAGUGUGGUGCUAAAUCCUACAGAUUUUUCUGAAAAAUAAGAG
rfam:Clostridium sp. 7_2_43FAA genomic scaffold supercont2.3, whole genome shotgun sequence.